rnacentral:rRNA from 1 species
UACGGGGGGAGCAAGCGUUGUUCGGAUUUACUGGGCGUAAAGGGCGCGUAGGCGGCGUGACAAGUCACUUGUGAAAUCUCCGGGCUUAACCCGGAGCGGUCAAGUGAUACUGUCGUGCUAGAGUGCGGAAGGGGCAACUGGAAUUCUCGGUGUAGCGGUGAAAUGCGUAGAUAUCGAGAGGAACACCUGCGGCGAAGGCGGGUUGCUGGGCUGACACUGACGCUGAGGCGCGAAAGCUAGGGGAGCGAACGGG